rnacentral:sRNA from 1 species
ACUGGGCAUGGUGUUGCAUGCCUGUAAUCCCAGCGACUCAGGAGGCUGAGACAGGAGGAUCGAAAGUUCAAAGCCAGCCUCAGCAAAAAGCGAGGUGCUAAGCAAUGUAGUGAGACCCUGUAUCUA